AGAGGGCUGUUGUAAAAACGCAUAGAAGAUUUUUAAUCUUACUGGAUAUUCCUUCUA
rnacentral:tRNA from 1 species